rnacentral:rRNA from 1 species
UACGUAGGCAGCAAGCGUUGUUCGGAGUUACUGGGCGUAAAGGGUGCGUAGGCGGUUUGGUAAGUCAUCUGUGAAAUCUAUGGGCUCAACCCAUAGUCUGCAGGCGAAACUGCCGGGCUUGAGUAUUGGAGAGGUGAGUGGAAUUUCCGGUGUAGCGGUGAAAUGCGUAGAUAUCGGAAGGAACACCUGUGGCGAAAGCGGCUCACUGGACCACAACUGACGCUGAGGCGCGAAAGCUAGGGGAGCAAACAGG